CUGGGGAGUACGGUCGCAAGAUUAAAACUCAAAGGAAUUGACGGGGACCCGCACAAGCAGCUGAGGGUGUGGUUUAAUUCGAUGGGACGGGAAGAACCUUAACAGGGUUUGACAUGCUGUCGACAUCCUCAGAGAUGCGGUUUCCGUCGCGAUGCGCACACAGGUGCUGCAUGGCUGUCGUCAGUUAGUUCCGUGAGGUGGUUGGUUAAGUCACUCAACGAGCGCAACCCCUGUGGUUGGUUGCAAGUUUCCGACCAGACUGCCGAGAUCAAGGUGGAGGAAGGCGGGGAGGACGUCAAGUCAACACGACCAUUUCAUGUUGGGAGACACACAAGCUACAAUGGUUGGCACAAUCGGUGGCCAACCCGAGAGGGGGAGGUAAUCCAGCAAAGACAGUCUCAUUUCGGAUCGGUGGUUGCAACUCGCCUCCGUGAAGUUGG
rnacentral:rRNA from 1 species